rfam:Gossypium hirsutum cultivar TM-1 unplaced genomic scaffold scaffold1485.1, whole genome shotgun sequence
UAUUAUAAAAUUUAUCCAUUUCUACUGUUAAAAACUAACAAGACUAACAGAAUAACCAAAUAGUGACACGUAGCAUGUCAUAUGUACCUUAUGUUGAUGUAUAGAGACCAAUUUUUAACCGUAGAAAUCGGUGAAUUUUUUUAACA